rnacentral:RNase_P_RNA from 1 species
CCAGUCGGCCGGACAGCCGCUGCCGCAAGUGCCGAAAGGCCGCGGGGGAGGAAAGUCCGGGCUCCACGGAAACACGGUGCCGGGUAACGCCCGGCGAGGGCGACCUCAGGGAAAGUGCCACAGAAAGCAAACCGCCCCGGCCGGAUCGCAAGGUUCGCCGCGGGGUAAGGGUGAAAGGGUGGAGUAAGAGACCACCGCGCUGCUGGUAACAGCAGCGGCACGGUAAACCCCACCGGGAGCAAAACCGAAUAGGGACAGCGCGAGCGGAAGCGAUUUCGCUCAGGCCGGUUUCCUGGCCAGCUGUCCGGGUUGGUUGCGAGAGGCGUCUGGCAACAGGCGUCCCAGAUGAAUGGCUGUCGCGUUCGUGCGGGUCUCGUACCCUUGCGAGCCAUACAGAACCCGGCUUACAGGCCGGCUGGCACA